UUCAAUGGCCUCCUCGUUCUUUAUGCUGGA
rnacentral:piRNA from 1 species